rnacentral:rRNA from 1 species
CGCUAAACAGCUAGCCCCACCCACCAAAAACAACAAAUAAAUAUAAAUAACCCCAAAUACACCAACAUUACCAUUAAACAAACCAUUUUUCCUCCCUAGUAUAGGCGAUAGAAAAGGACCUGUUGGAGCAAUAGAGAAAGUACCGCAAGGGAACGCUGAAAGAGAAAUGAAACAACCCAUUAUAAGCAUAAAAAAGCAGAGAUUUAAACUCGUACCUUUUGCAUCAUGAUUUAGCCAGAACCCCUCAAGCAAAGAGACCUUUAGUUUGACCCCCCGAAACUAGGUGAGCUACUCCAAGACAGCCUGUAAUAGGGCAAACCCGUCCCUGUGGCAAAAGGGUGGGAAGAGCUUCGAGUAGGGAUGACAGAUCUAUCGAACCUAGUUAUAGCUGGUUGCCUGAGAAUUGGAUAGAAGUUCAGCCUCUCGGUUUUUCCUGUCCCCUAAUUUAAUUUUACUUGACACAAAGAGAAACCAAGAGAGUUAGUCAAAGGGGGUACAGCUCCUUUGAAACAAGACACAACUUUACCAGGAGGGUAAAGAUCAUAAUAACAUAAGGAAAAAUGUUCUGGUGGGCCUAAAAGCAGCCACCCCGAUAGAUAGCGUUAAAGCUCGUACACAUUCCUAAUCCUUCAAUUCCGAUAAUUCAAUCUUAACCCCCUAAUCCUACCAGGCCGUCCCAUGCAAACAUGGGAGCGAUUAUGCUAAUAUGAGUAACAAGAGAGCCUAACGUCUCUCUCCCUGCACACGUGUAAGUCGAAAUGGACCCCCCAUCGACCUUUAACGGCCCCAAACAAAGAGGGAACUGGACUACAAAUCAAACAACAAGAAAAGCCCCCAGCCCACAACCGUUAACCCUACACUGGUGUGCUUCAAGGAAAGACUAAAAGAAAAAGAAGGAACUCGGCAAAUACAUGAGGCCUCGCCUGUUUACCAAAAACAUCGCCUCUUGCAAAACUUAAGAAUAAGAGGUCCCGCCUGCCCUGUGACUAUAUGUUUAACGGCCGCGGUAUCCGCCUCUUGCAAAACUUAAGAAUAAGAGGUCCCGCCUGCCCUGUGACUAUAUGUUUAACGGCCGCGGUAUCCUGACCGUGCGAAGGUAGCGUAAUCACUUGUCUUUUAAAUGGAGACCUGUAUGAAUGGCAUAACGAGGGCUUAACUGUCUCCUUUUUCCAGUCAAUGAAAUUGAUCUCUCCGUGCAGAAGCGGGGAUAAAAACAUAAGACGAGAAGACCCUAUGGAGCUUUAGACACUAAGGUAGAUCGUGUUAAGCACCCCCUGACAAAGGGCCAAACCCUAUGAAUCCUACCCUAAUGUCUUUGGUUGGGGCGACCGCAGGGAAAUAAAAAACCCCCGCGUGGAACGGGAGUACUCUCCUCCUACUACCAAGAGCUACCGCUCUAAUAAACAGAAUCUCUGACCCAUUAGAUCCGGCAACGCCGAUUAACGAACCAAGUUACCCUAGGGAUAACAGCGCAAUCCUCUUUUAGAGCCCAUAUCGACAAGAGGGUUUACGACCUCGAUGUUGGAUCAGGACAUCCUAAUGGUGCAGCCGCUAUUAAGGGUUCGUUUGUUCAACGAUUAAAGUCCUACGUGAUCUGAGUUCAGACCGGAGUAAUCCAGGUCAGUUUCUAUCUAUGACAUGCUUUUCUCUAGUACGAAAGAGACCGAGAAAAAGAGGCCCAUACCGAAAGCACGCCUCCUCCUUACCUAGUGAAAUCAACUAAAAUAGGCAAAAGGACAUACCCUUCCCCCGUUGAAGAAAACAACAC